UACGUAGGUGGCAAGCGUUAUCCGGAAUUAUUGGGCGUAAAGCGCGCGCAGGCGGUCCUUUAAGUCUGAUGUGAAAGCCCACGGCUCAACCGUGGAGGGUCAUUGGAAACUGGGGGACUUGAGUGCAGAAGAGGAGAGCGGAAUUCCACGUGUAGCGGUGAAAUGCGUAGAGAUGUGGAGGAACACCAGUGGCGAAGGCGGCUCUCUGGUCGAUAACUGACGCUGAGGCGCGAAAGCGUGGGGAGCGAACAGG
rnacentral:rRNA from 1 species